rnacentral:rRNA from 1 species
GACGAACCGAGCGAACGUUAUUCGGAAUCACUGGGCUUAAAGGGCUCGUAGGCGGCCAACUAAGUCAGACGUGAAAUCCCUCGGCUUAACCGGGGAACUGCGUCUGAUACUGGAUGGCUUGAAUCCGGGAGAGGGAUGCGGAAUUCCAGGUGUAGCGGUGAAAUGCGUAGAUAUCUGGAGGAACACCGGUGGCGAAGGCGGCAUCCUGGACCGGCAUUGACGCUGAGGCGCGAAAGCCAGGGGAGCAAACGGG